UCCUUAGAGCUCCAGCUAAUCCAGAUGCAACACUGACGAAUUAGUGCCGAAAUGAGUAUCAGCACUUGAAAUAAAUCCUACAGAGAUGCCUUGGUCACUCCAGGUAAGAGUUUCUGUGGCUGAGAGGCCCCGCUGUAUGACUCCUGUUUCUGCCUGCUGGACUUCACUUUCUGGGGCUUGGCAUCUGAUGACCUCUGUAUACAUGCUAUGCCCUCCUGUUCUUUAUGUGGCCACUUCACUUUGUCCUUUGGGUUUCAGCUUAAAAGUAGAGUCAACUAGAAAUCUUCAUUACCGUGCUGAGACUAGUUCGGAUGCCCCUGGCUCAUCAGCUGUAAUGCCUCUGUGAAAGCUCCACUCACACAUGCUGGAACCGUCGCCUUCCCCUCCUCAACUGUAAACCACAUAAAUGCGGAGGCCAUGUCUGUUUUG
rnacentral:sRNA from 1 species